rnacentral:rRNA from 1 species
AGUGAACGCUGGCGGUAGGCCUAACACAUGCAAGUCGAACGGCAGCACAGUAAGAGCUUGCUCUUACGGGUGGCGAGUGGCGGACGGGUGAGGAAUACAUCGGAAUCUACUUUUUCGUGGGGGAUAACGUAGGGAAACUUACGCUAAUACCGCAUACGACCUACGGGUGAAAGCAGGGGAUCUUCGGACCUUGCGCGUUUGAAUGAGCCGAUGUCGGAUUAGCUAGUUGGCGGGGUAAAGGCCCACCAAGGCGACGAUGCGUAGCUGGUCUGAGAGGAUGAUCAGCCACACUGGAACUGAGACACGGUCCAGACUCCUACGGGAGGCAGCAGUGGGGAAUAUUGGACAAUGGGCGCAAGCCUGAUCCAGCCAUACCGCGUGGGUGAAGAAGGCCUUCGGGUUGUAAAGCCCUUUUGUUGGGAAAGAAAAGCAGCAGGUUAAUACCCCGCUGUUCUGACGGUACCCAAAGAAUAAGCACCGGCUAACUUCGUG